CUCGUAGGCGGCCAACUAAGUCACACGUGAAAUCCCCAGGCUCAACCUGGGAACUGCGUGUGAUACUGGAUGGCUUGAAUUCGGGAGAGGGAUGCAGAAUUCCAGGUGUAGCGGUGAAAUGCGUAGAUAUCUGGAGGAAUACCGGUGGCGAAGGCGGCAUCCUGGACCGACAUUGACGCUGAGGAGCGAAAGCUAGGGGAGCAAACG
rnacentral:rRNA from 1 species